UACGGAAGGCAGCAGGGGGAAUAUUGCACAAUGGGCGAAAGCCUGAUGCAGCUAUGCCGCGUGUAUGAAGAAGGCCUUAGGGUUGUAAAGUACUUUCAUCGGGGAGGAAAAACAAAACUAAUAAUUUUAUUUCUUGACGUUACCCGAAAAAGAAGCACCGGCUAACUCCGUGCCAGCAGCCGCGGUAAUACGGAGGGUGCUAGCGUUAAUCAGAAUUACUGGGCGUAAAGAGCACGUAGGUGGUUUUUUUAAAGUCAGAUGUGAAAUCCCUGGGCUUAACCUAGGAACUGCAUUUUGAAACUGAAAUACUAGAGUAUCGUAGAGGGAGGUAGAAUUCUAGGUGUAGCGGUGAAAUGCGUAGAUAUCUGGAGGAAUACCUGUGGCGAAAGCGGCCUCCUAAACGAAUACUGACACUGAGGGUGCGAAAGCGUGGGGAGCAAACAGGGAUUAGAUACC
rnacentral:rRNA from 1 species